GGUUCAUUCAAAUUUCUGCCCUAUCAACUUUCGACGGCUGGGUCUUGGCCAGCCGUGGUGACAACGGGUAACGGAGGGUAGGGCUCGACCCGGAGAAGGAGCCUGAGAAACGGCUACUACAUCCAAGGAAGGCAGCAGGCGCGCAAAUUACCCAAUCCCGACCGGGGAGGGUGUGACAAUAAAUACUGAUACAGGGCUCUUUCGGGUCUUGUAAUUGGAAUGAGUACAAUUUAAAUCCCUUAACGAGGAACAAUUGGAGGGCAAGUCUGGUGCCAGCAGCCGCGGUAAUUCCAGCUCCAAUAGCGUAUAUUAAAGUUGUUGGAGGUAAAAAGCUCGUAGUUG
rnacentral:rRNA from 1 species